rnacentral:lncRNA from 1 species
AUCAAUCCAUACAAUAGACAGAGCUCCUAACCUUAAUAGUAGAGGUUUAGUUGCUCAUGGUUCAAAGAGAAAACUAGGAUUUAGAAAAACUGUAAAGUGCGGAAUGAAGUAGAAGAGAAGAGAAGAGAUUGCCUGAAGGGCUGAUUCUUUUCCCCUUUAUAUCUAAUCAUAAUUAAUGUAAAAUAUAUUUUCUAAAACUAAAUAAUAUCUUUUCCUAUUGUAAAAUAAAAUAAAGUUUAAUCAAAAUUAAUUAAGAAAUCUCAUGUUGGCUCGUUGAGGUGUGGGGACCACUUCAAGUUGCUGAACCUGGCGCCAAACUUGGAGCCAAGUUUGGAGCCACUCUACCCACAUCAUGCAAUUCUUCAACCUGGUGCCAAACUUGGAUUUCCCCAAGUUUGGCACCACCAAGGCAGCAAGCAAGGAAGGCGUUGUGAUGACCAUGUCGCCAAAUUUGAGAUUUCCCAAGUUUGGCGCCACCAAGGCAGUAAUUCCAUAUGAAAGGUGUAGACUAUUAUAUAUCGUUGGAAAGCUCUGGAAGUUGGCGUUCCAAUGCCGCUGGAAUCACGUCAAUUGGACCUCUGUUGUUCAAGUUAUUUCUGUUUGAGUGCAAGGAGGUCAAGGUUGACAGCAUCAUCUACUUUCUUCCUCUUCUUCUACAGAAACUCCAUCAAAUCCAUCCGAAUACUACCUGAAAUAAACAGAAUUGCACACAACUCAAAGUAGCAUUCAUGGUGGCUAAAAGAUAAUGAAAUCUUGAUUGAACUUAACAAUUUGAAUACAAAUUCGGUAGGAAAAGAUAGGAAAGAUGCUCACGCAUCAGCUGAUAGUUCGCAAAAUG